UACGUAGGGGGCGAGCGUUUGUCCGGAAUUAUUGGGCGUAAAAGAGCGUGUAGGCUGUUCGGUAAGUCUGCCGUGAAAACCUGAGGCUCAACCUCGGGCGUGCGGUGGAUACUGUCGGGCUAGAGUACGGAAGAGGCAAGUGGAAUUCCUGGUGUAGCGGUGGAAUGCGCAGAUAUCAGGAGGAACACCUAUAGCGAAGGCAGCUUGCUGGGACGUAACUGACGCUAAGGCGCGAAAGCGUGGGGAGCGAACAGG
rnacentral:rRNA from 1 species